rnacentral:rRNA from 1 species
UACGUAGGGUGCGAGCGUUGUCCGGAAUUAUUGGGCGUAAAGGGCUCGUAGGCGGUUUGUCGCGUCGGGAGUGAAAACGCCGUGCUUAACACGGCGCUUGCUUUCGAUACGGGCAGACUAGAGGUAUGCAGGGGAGAACGGAAUUCCUGGUGUAGCGGUGAAAUGCGCAGAUAUCAGGAGGAACACCAGUGGCGAAGGCGGUUCUCUGGGCAUUACCUGACGCUGAGGAGCGAAAGUGUGGGGAGCGAACAGG